rnacentral:lncRNA from 1 species
AUCUCAUGGUUCCUAGUUGGAUUCACUUCCUCUGUGCCAUGACGGGAACUCUGGGAAGUUAUUUUCAAGGUGAGCCAACAAGCUCAGGAAAGUUGAUUUACUUGCCCAAGGUCACAUCACUAGGAGGGGCUGAGCUGGUGACCUCUAAACUAUGCCAAGGUUAUGGGUAUGACUGGGGACAAUUCUGGGGGAAUUUUCCCACCACCAACAUAUAAUAGUUAUAUCAUGAAUACCUCAACUAAUCACCUCUUUCUGCUAAGGAAAUGGGUCUCUUUGACUUGAUGAAAUUCUCAAGAAAUGUCCUCUCUUGAGGAGCCUGUCUUUAUAAAUAAGAAUUUCAUACAAAUCUUUCAUUACCUCUAUGGCUUUGUAACAAAUGUGCUCCAACAGAUGCGUGUGCAAGCUGGGCAGUCCAUCCUAAGGGAGAAAGGCAUGGAGUUUGAAAGGGAAUCAAGGCAGCUACCAGAACCAUCUUUGUUAGGUUGAGAUGCAAAUGCAACCAUUAACCUUCAAGAGCCCUUGUGAAAUGAGAUGCUACUUUUCAGAUUCUCCAAAGCCCUCUCUUUACUUUCAUCCCAAUGUUUCUGAUCCCAUUUCAUUUUUGCUUCUUUCCUAACCUAGGCUGGAUCCUGUGGACGUUGGACCCACUCAUUCCAACCUCAACCUCUAGAUACACACACCUUCCUCUCCUACGUGGAUAAAUCCACUGUUCUUUUUUGUUGUUGUUGUUCCUGAACCAUUGAUCCAUCCGGAGCUAUUGAUGGCUCCCAAAUUAAAGUUCUUAGCUAUGCUCUGGGUUAGCUCCAUUUCACAGCUACGCCUUCACCUGGAAUGGGGUUCUCAAUCCUCUCUGCCUUCCCCUUCCCUUGCUCUGUUCUAAAACGUGUGCCUUUCCUCUGAGCUCCAUCAUCUUCAGAUCUCACCCAUCAUGAACAGAUGAUCCUAGGUCAUGGAAGAUAAUGGCCACUAGGUAGGAACCCCCACCCCUUCCUCUCUGCUUCUUAAGUGAUCUGUAUCUUUAUCCAUUGUUAUAGACUGGAUGUUUCUGUCUUCACAAAAUUCGGAUGUUGAAGCCCUGACCCCCAUUGUGGUUGUAUAUGGAAACAGGGCCUAUAAGAGGGUGAUUAAGUUUAGAUGAGAUCAUAAGGGUGAGGCCCCGAUCCAGUAGGAUCAGUGUCCUUAUAAGAAGCACCACCUGAGAGCUUGCUCUGUCUCUCUACAUGCACACAUUGAGGAAAAGUCAUGUGAGGACACAGUGAGAAGUCAGUCUACAAGCCAGGAGGAAAGUUUCACCAGUCUUUUACUAGUGCUUUCUUUCCCUUAAGUCAGAACUGCUUGGCAGGGUUGAGGGCCAGGGGUCGGGAAUGGGUUAGAAGGCUGUUGGAUGAUCCAUGGAUUAGCACAGAGAAAGUAAGGUGAAUUGAAUAUUUAAUAACCACUACAACGGCUUGACACAGAAAAAGUUGUAUUUUUUCUCAUACUUCUUCAAAACAGAAUGGGCUCAGCUGCGGAGUUCUGCGGGUCUGACUUGAGGUCACUCUUGUGGCAGUUUUUCCUUGGUAGAUCGAUGGGGGCUGGGCUCAGAUGGGAUGGAUGCGCUUCCUCCCUUUUCAUACAAUCUCAGGACCUCUCUUUCCACAUGGCUUGUCCAUCAGGUCUCUCCAGCAGUGUUGCUAGUCCUCUGACCUGGGAGCUCAGAGCUUCUAAGAGUACAAAUGUGGAAGUUAAUAGGUCUUCCUAGGCCUUUUGCCCCAAACUGACACAUCACCACUUCCUCUGCAGCCUGUUCAUUGAAGCGUGUCACAGGACCAGCCCAGCUUCUAGGGAAGGCAAUAAACAGUGUGGCUCCUCAGAGAUCAGAGUGAGGGUCACCACUGUAACAGAAUACUGUCAACAUUUUGCGUUUGUCAACCUACACAAUCAAUAAAGACUUUCCAAUAGAACUGUCAAUAUCUGCUUAUGGGACUCUUUAAAAAUUUUUUUUAUUGAAGUAUAGUUGAUUUACAGUGUUGUGUUAGUUUCAGGUAUACAGCAAAGUGAUUCGGUUAUACAUUGUAUGCAAUAAUAUGUGUAUAAUCGGUUUCAAAUUCUUUUCUAUUAUAGGUUAUUGCAAGAUACUCAAUAUUGUUCCCUGUACUAUACAGUAGGUCAUUGUUUGUUUUAUAUUAGCAGUGUGUAUAUCUUAAUCCCAAACUCCUAAUUUAUCCCUCUCCACCCCCUUUCCCCUUUGGUAACCAUAAGACAAUUUUCUUUGUAAAUCUUUGUAAAAAAAGUUCAUUUGUAUCAUUUUCCUAGAUUCCACAUAAGUGAUAUAUAAUAUUUUUCUCUGUCUUACUUACAUCACUCAGUAUGAUAAUCUCUAGGUCUAUCCAAGUUACUGCAAAUAGCAUUAUUUCAUUCUUUUUUAUGGCUGAGUAAUAUUUCUGUGUGUAUUUUUGUAUGUAAUACACACAUGCACACACACACAGAUACCUUUCAUCUUUAUCCAUUCAUUUGUCAGUUGGCAAUUAGGUUACGUCCAUGUCUUGGCUUUUGUAAAUAGUGAAAUAGGACAUUGGGGAACAUGUAUCUUUUCAAAUGAGAGUUUACGUCUUUUCUGGGUGUAUGCCUAGGAGUGGGAUUGCUGGAUCGUAUGGUAACUUUAUUUUUAGUUUUUUAAGGAACCUUCACACUCCUCCAUAGUGGCUGCCCCAGUUUACAUUCCCACCAACAAUGUAGGAGGUUUCCUUUUUCUUCACACAGUCUCCAGCAUUUAUUAUUUAUAAACAUUUUAAUGACUUUCUGACUGGUAUGAGGUGAUACCCUAUUGUAGUUUGGAUUUGCAUUUCUCUAAUAGUGAUGUUGAGCAUCUUCUCAUCACGGGCCUGUUGGCUAUCUGUGUGUCUUCUUUGGUGAAAUGUCUAUUUAGGUCUUCUCCCAUUUAUUUAUUUAUUUAUUUUAAUUUUUAUUUUCAUCUUUUUAUCUUUUCUAGGGCUGUACCCACAGCACAUGGAGGUUCCCGGGCUAGGGGUCUAAUCGGAGCUGUAGCCGCCAGCCUACGCCAGAGCCACAGCAACGCAGGAUCCGAGCUGUGUCUGCGACCUACACCACAGCUCACGGCAACGCCGGAUCGUUAACCCACUGAGCAAGGCCAGGGAUCGAACCCGCAACCUCAUGGUUCCUAGUCGGAUUUGUUAACUACUACGCCACGACAGGAACUCCUGUAUAUUUUGGAAUUAAGCCCUUACUGGCUGCACUGUUUGUGAAUUUUUUUUCUCCCAGUCCAUAGGUUGUCUUACAAGAUUAGCGUACAGAAAUCUGUUGCAUUCCUUUACACUAACAAUGAAAUAUCAGAAAAGUUAAAAAAUCACUCUUAAAAGUGCAUCAAAAAAAUACUUGGGAAUAAAUCUGACAGGAGAGGUGAAAGACUUAUACACCAAAAACUGUAAAACAUUGAUAAAGGAAAUUGAAGACAAUUCUAAGAAAUGGAAAGAUAUCCUAUGCUCUUGGAUUGGAAAAAUUAAUAUUGUUAAAAUGGCUAUACUACCCAAAGCAAUCUACAGAUCUAAUGUGAGCCCUGUCAAAAGUUUCCAUGAUAUUUUUCACAGAACUAACAUAUAAUUAAUAAAUAACAUAAUUAAUAAUUUAGAACACAUAAUCCUAAAGUUUAUAUGGAACCAUAAAAGACCCAGAACUGUCAAAGCAAUCUUGAGGAAAAAGAACAAAGUUGGAGGCAUGAACCUCCCAGACUUCGGACAAUAUUACAAAACUACAGUAACCAAAAUAACAUGGUGUUGCAACAAAAACAAACAUGGAUCAGUGGAACAAAAAAGCCCUAAAUAAACCAACAUGCCUAAGGUCAAUUAAUCUUCAACAAAGAAGGUGAGAAUAUACACUGGAGAAAAGACAGUGUCUUCAGCAAGUGGUGCUGGGAAAACUGGACAGCUACAUGCAAACCAGUGAAGUUAGAACACUCCCUCAUGCCACACACAAAAAUAAACUCAAAAUGGCUUAAAGACAUGACACCUUAAAACUCCUAGAAGAAAACAUAGGCAAAACGUAAAUCUGACAUAAGCUGUAGCAACGUUUUCUUAGGUCAUUUUCCCAAGGCAAAAGACAAAAAGAAACAAUGGGACCUAAUCAACCCUAUAAGGUCUUUACAGCAAAGAAAACCAUAAACAAAACAAAAAGACAACCUAAGACUGCUUCCGGGACUCUUUUUUUUUUUUUUUUUUUUUUUUUUUGUCUUUUGUUGUUGUUGUUGUUGCUAUUUCUUGGGCCGCUCCCGCGGCAUGUGGAGGUUCCUAGGCUAGGGGUUGAAUCAGACCUGUAGCCACCGGCCUACGCCAGAGCCACAGCAACGCGGGAUCCAAGCCGCGUCUGCAACCUACACCACAGCUCACGGCAACGCUGGAUCGUUAACCCACUGAGCAAGGGCAGGGACCGAACCCGCAACCUCAUGGUUCCCAGUCGGAUUCGUUAACCACUGCGCCACGACGGGAACUCCCGGGACUCUUAAUUUUGAUACAUCUACUGAGAUAAAAGAGAGCCCUAUUCUUUGGUGUGCUGCUCUAUGUCAGGGGACUUUGCAUUUUUUUGUUUGUUUGUUUUGAAGAGAAAGUUGAUUUCCAAGUUCUUGGUAGAUCAUAUUUUAACUUUCAGUAUUGACAGUUAUGAUUUGAGAGAGCUCUCACCUCACUGUGGCUUUACCUCCCACGUCUGGGUUUCAGAACCAGCACAGACUUGAGCUCCAACUAUUUUCAGUGGUUUUUAAAAUUUUUUUUAUUAUAGUUUAAAAAUUUUUUUAUUAUAGUUGAUUCUUCAGUGGCAUUUAGAAGGCUAUAGUUAUUUGGCAAAUAAGCUAGCAUAAGAUUUUUGAUUUGGGUGAACCCCAGUAUUUUACAUAUUUCACACACACAAACCUCCACAUUCCUCAGAUACCAUGGGAACUUUCUAUCAUUUGGGGCAGCAUCUUGGGCAGUCUAAGCUCAUCGCCUCAAGGAAGGAAGGCUACAGCCAAACAAAAGAGAACAAAGGCAUCAAUUCUCAAUCUUGAGUUUCAAAGAGCUUUUUCAAAGUCCUGGCAAAGAAAACAGGUUGAUAGAAAAUGUUUCUGUAUUUCAAAAGUGGCAUUUCUUGUACCAAAAGCCAUGUGCUAUGAUGUUUACAAUAGUUUUGGGGAGAUUAUGUGAUACUUAAAAAAAAACAAUUUUUAAGUGAUUUUUUUUUCCAUCAUGGCUGGUUUACAGUGUUCUGUCAGUUUUCUACUGUACAGCAAGGUGACCCAGUCAUACAUACAUAUAUACAUUCUUUUUCUCACAUUAUCAUGCUCCAUCACAAGUGACUAGAUAUAGUUCCCCAUGCUGUACGGCAGGAUCUCAUUGCUUAUCCAUUCCAAAGGCAAUAGUUUACAUCUAUUAACCCCUAAUUCCCAGUCCCUCUCCCUCCCUCCCCCUCCCCCUUGGCCACCACAAGUCUGUUCUCCCAAUUCCAUGAUUUUCUUUUCUGUGGAAAGGUUCAUUUGUGCUUUAUAUUGUAUUCCAGAUAUAAAUGAGAUCAUAUGGUAUUUGUCUUUGUUUCUGACUUACUUCACUUAGUAUGAGAAUCUGUAGUUCCAUCAAUGUUGCUGCAAAUGGCAUUAUUUUGUUCUUUUUAUGGCCGAGUAGUAUUCCAUUGUGUAUAUAUACCACACGUCUUACUCCAUUCAUCUGUCAAUGGACAUUUAGGUUGUUUCCAUGUCUUGGCUAUUGUGAAUAGUGCUGCAGUGAAUAUGCAGGUGCAUGUGUCUUUUUCAAGGAAAGUUUUGUCUGGAUGUAUGCCCAAGAGUGGGAUUGCUGGGUCAUAUGGUAGUUCUAUAUUUAGUUUUCUAAGGUACUUCUAUACUGUUCUCCAUAGUGGCUGUACCAGCUUGCAUUCCCACCAACAGUGUAGGAAGGUUCCCUUUUCUCAACACCCUCUCUAGCAUUUGUUUUUUGUGGAAUUAUUAAUGAUGGCCAUUCUGACUGGUGGUACCUCAUAGUAGGGUUUUUGUUUUUGUUUUUUUUGUCUUCUGUCUAUUUUAGGUCCACACCUGUGGCAUAUGGAGGUUCUCAGGCUAGGGGCCCAAUUGGAGCUAUAGCUGCUGGCCUAUGCCAUAGCCACAGCAACUUGGGAUCUGAGCCAUGUCUGCGACCUACACCACAGCUCAUAGCAAUGCUGGAUCCUUAACCCACUGAGCAAGGCCAGGGAUCAAACCUACAUCCUCAUGGAUACUAGUCAGUUUUGUUAACCACUGAGCCAUGAUGGGAACUCCUACCUCAUAGUAGUUUUGAUUUGCAUUUCUCUAAUAAUCAGUGAUGUUGAACAUUUUUUCAUGUGCUUGUUGGUCAUCUGUACAUCUUUGGAGAAUUGUCUGUUCAAGUCUUUUGCCCAUUUUUCCAUUGGGUGGUUGGCUUUUUUGCUGUUGAGUUGUAAAAAAAAAAAAAAAAAAAAAAAA